rfam:Sorghum bicolor cultivar BTx623 chromosome 2, whole genome shotgun sequence.
AGCUGCGUGGUGAGCACAAAGCGAACUAUUCUUUCGCCUUUUACUAAAGAAUACCGUGUGCACGUCACAAAUAGCAGCAUACGCUAAUUUUUGGAGGAUGUUUUCUCUUUUUGAGAGAGC